GCGUAGAAUUUACCAAAAGGACUGGGACAACCACUGGAAACGGUGGCUAAUACCGGAUGAACCGAAAAGUAAAAAGGGAAACCUGCCUUUUGAAGAGCUCGCGUCUGAUUAGCUAGUUGGUGAGGUAAGAGCUCACCAAGGCAGCGAUCAGUAGCUGGUCUGAGAGGAUGACCAGCCACACUGGGACUGAGACACGGCCCAGACUCCUACGGGAGGCAGCAGUGGGGAAUUUUCCGCAAUGGGCGAAAGCCUGACGGAGCAAUACCGCGUGAGGGAAGAAGGCUCUUGGGUCGUAAACCUCUUUUAUCAGGGAAGAAAAAAAUGACGGUACCUGAAGAAUCAGCCUCGGCUAACUCCGUGCCAGCAGCCGCGGUAAUACGGAGGAGGCAAGCGUUAUCCGGAAUUAUUGGGCGUAAAGCGUCCGCAGGUGGCUUAUCAAGUCUGCUGUCAAAGAGUGGGGCUUAACCCCAUUAAGGCAGUGGAAACUGAGAAGCUAGAGUGCCGUAGGGGUAGAGGGAAUUCCCGGUGUAGCGGUGAAAUGCGUAGAGAUCGGGAAGAACAUCGGUGGCGAAAGCGCUCUACUGGACGGCAACUGACACUCAGGGACGAAAGCUAGGGGAGCGAAAGGGAUUAGAUACC
rnacentral:rRNA from 2 species